rnacentral:lncRNA from 1 species
AUGGUGAUAAGAGUUAACAAGGAAGGCCAACAUUCCCUUUCUGGUUGCCCUGCACCUUUCAAGCCGUGUCCCUUCUUGAAUUCAAAAGGGAAUUCACCAACUCCUAGAGGAGUUCCCUCGCCUCUGCCCAGCAACCAGCCAGGUUCCGGUGUCACCGCCUAUGCACUCGGAAAUGCUGCUGUUCUAAACAAUCCAAUGAUAGCAGCACUAUGGGGGUCAGCUAACUGGUGGUCAUUCUCUGCCUACACGUCAUACGUCAGGCCAAAUCAAUCGGCCAUCCUCGCAGCCCAAUGAUCCCUCAAAUCUAACUACACAUAGCUAAAGAACCUCAAUCUUAUCCAACCUUUGCUCUGCUGUAUCCCUACUUCUUGGUGAGUAAUUUUCGAUUCCAGCUGCCAUGCUAAGGGAUUAUCUGUCAUCCACAUCUACCUCAAAGGAUAAUUUCUUCAGAGAGGAGGCCUACCCCAAUCUAUGUAAAUACAAAUUCCAUAUUGCAUUCUGUCUUUGUUGUGCAUUCAGUAAAGCCUGUAUCCGAUUGAAAUGUAGUUUGAAAGUUCAAAAAUUAAAGCUGUUUUGAAUGGGUGUUACAUUGCUUCCUAUUUCAUGGGCAUAGAGGGUAUUCACAUGGUAGUGUUUACAAUGUUAGCUUGUCAUUCUAGCCAAAGGCAGUACAGUAUGAACAUAUGUUAAAACUGCUUCUCCAAUAAAAAUCCCCAAUCACACUUGAAGGCGAUGUCAUGGCAACAUUGGCUAUCUAAGCUCAUGCAUAGAAACAAGUUAUUGGGUCUAACGGUCGUCUCGCGACGAACUGAGCAUGUGCAGGUCUCAAAAACUUGGCAGUUUGUCACUUUCUCGAGGUUGUAGUAAAACAUGUUCAAUUACUUAAGACACUGGUUGUGCCUUUAGAUUUAAAAACAAAUUAAC